GACGAACGCUGGCGGCGUGCUUAACGCAUGCCAGUCGAACGGUGAAGCGCCUUCCUUUUUGGUGGGUGUGGAUGAGUGGCGAACGGGUGAGUAACACGUGAGUAACCUGCCCCCUUCUUCUGGAUAACCGCAUGAAAGUGUGGCUAAUACGGGAUAUUCUGGGUCUGUCGCAUGAUGGGUCUGGGAAAGAUAUUGUUUCGGUGGGGGAUGGGCUCGCGGCCUAUCAGCUUGUUGGUGGGGUGAUGGCCUACCAAGGCGGUGACGGGUAGCCGGCCUGAGAGGGUGGACGGUCACACUGGGACUGAGACACGGCCAAGACUCCUACGAGAGGCAGCAGUGGGGAAUAUUGCACAAUGGGCGCAAGCCUGAUGCAGCGACGCCGCGUGAGGGAUGGAGGCCUUCGGGUUGUGAACCUCUUUCGCCAGUGAAGCAGGCCUGCCUCGUUUGUGGGUGGGUUGACGGUAGCUGGAUAAGAAGCGCCGGCUAACUACGUG
rnacentral:rRNA from 1 species